CAAUAGCGUAUAUUAAAGUUGUUGCGGUUAAAAGCUCGUAGUUGGAUUUCUGCCGAGGACGACCGGUCCGCCCUCUGGGUGUGCAUCUGGCUCGGCCUGGGCAUCUUCUUGGAGAACGUAUCUGCACUUGACUGUGUGGUGCGGUAUCUAAGACUUUUACUUUGAGGAAAUUAGAGUGUUUCAAGCAGGCUCAUGCCUUGAAUACAUUAGCAUGGAAUAAUAAGAUAGGACCUCGGUUCUAUUUUGUUGGUUUUUAGAGCUGAGGUAAUGAUUAAUAGGGAUAGUUGGGGGCAUUCGUAUUUAACUGUCAGAGGUCGAAAUUCUUGGAUUUGUUAAAGACGGACUACUGCGAAAGCAUUUGCCAAGGAUGUUUUCAUUGAUCAAGAACGAAAGUUAGGGGAUCGAAGACGAUCAGAUACCGU
rnacentral:rRNA from 1 species